rnacentral:rRNA from 1 species
GGGGAGGCAGCAGUGGGGAAUAUUGCACAAUGGGCGGAAGCCUGAUGCAGCGACGCCGCGUGAGGGAUGACGGCCUUCGGGUUGUAAACCUCUUUCAGCAGGGAAGAAGCGUAAGUGACGGUACCUGCAGAAGAAGCGCCGGCUAACUACGUGCCAGCAGCCGCGGUAAUACGUAGGGCGCGAGCGUUGUCCGGAAUUAUUGGGCGUAAAGAGCUCGUAGGCGGCUUGUCGCGUCGGGUGUGAAAGACCGGGGCUUAACUCCGGUUCUGCAUUCGAUACGGGCUAGCUAGAGUUCGGUAGGGGAGAUCGGAAUUCCUGGUGUAGCGGUGAAAUGCGCAGAUAUCAGGAGGAACACCGGUGGCGAAGGCGGAUCUCUGGGCCGAUACUGACGCUGAGGAGCGAAAGCGUGGGGAGCGAACAGCAUUUAGAUACCCUGGUAGUCCACGCCGUAAACGGUGGGCACUAGGUGUGGGCGACAUUCCACGUCGUCCGUGCCGCAGCUAACGCAUUAAGUGCCCCGCCUGGGGAGUACGGCCGCAAGGCUAAAACUCAAAGGAAUUG